GAAUUCGCCCUUAGAGUUUGAUCCUGGCUCAGGACGAACGCUGGCGGCGUGCUUAACACAUGCAAGUCGAACGAGAAUCUACUGAAGGAGGAUUCGUCCAACGGAAGUAGAGGAAAGUGGCGGACGGGUGAGUAACGCGUGAGGAACCUGCCUUGAAGAGGGGGACAACAGUUGGAAACGACUGCUAAUACCGCGUGAUGCAUAGGGAUCGCAUGAUUCUUAUGCCAAAGAUUUAUCGCUUCAAGAUGGCCUCGCGUCUGAUUAGCUAGUUGGCGGGGUAACGGCCCACCAAGGCGACGAUCAGUAGCCGGACUGAGAGGUUGAACGGCCACAUUGGGACUGAGAUACGGCCCAGACUCCUACGGGAGGCAGCAGUGGGGAAUAUUGGGCAAUGGGCGCAAGCCUGACCCAGCAACGCCGCGUGAAGGAAGAAGGCUUUCGGGUUGUAAACUUCUUUUAAGAGGGAAGAGCAGAAGACGGUACCUCUAGAAUAAGCCACGGCUAACUACGUGCCAGCAGCCGCGGUAAUACGUAGGUGGCAAGCGUUGUCCGGAUUUACUGGGUGUAAAGGGCGUGCAGCCGGGUCUGCAAGUCAGAUGUGAAAUCCAUGGGCUCAACCCAUGAACUGCAUUUGAAACUGUAGAUCUUGAGUGUCGGAGGGGCAAUCGGAAUUCCUAGUGUAGCGGUGAAAUGCGUAGAUAUUAGGAGGAACACCAGUGGCGAAGGCGGAUUGCUGGACGAUAACUGACGGUGAGGCGCGAAAGUGUGGGGAGCAAACAGGAUUAGAUACCCUGGUAGUCCACACUGUAAACGAUGAAUACUAGGUGUGCGGGGGACUGACCC
rnacentral:rRNA from 1 species